UACGGAGGGGACUAGCGUUGUUCGGAAUUACUGGGCGUAAAGCGCACGUAGGCGGAUUUGUAAGUCAGGGGGUGAAAUCCCGGGGCUCAACCUCGGAACUGCCUUUGAUACUGCAAAUCUCGAGUCCGGAAGAGGUGAGUGGAAUUCCUAGUGUAGAGGUGAAAUUCGUAGAUAUUAGGAAGAACACCAGUGGCGAAGGCGGCUCACUGGUCCGGUACUGACGCUGAGGUGCGAAAGCGUGGGGAGCAAACAGGG
rnacentral:rRNA from 1 species